GAUUAGAGUUUGAUCMUGGCUCAGAACGUACGCUGGCGGCACGCCUAACACAUGCAAGUCGAACGCAGUAGCAAUACUGAGUGGCAGACGGGUGAGUAACAUGUGGGAAUCUGCCUUGUGGUUCAGGACAACAUUGGGAAACCGAUGCUAAUACUGGAUAAGCCCUUACGGGGAAAGUUUUAAUGCCAUAAGAUGAGCCCGCAUUUGAUUAGUUAGUUGGUGAGGUAAUGGCUCACCAAGACAAUGAUCAAUAGCUGAUCUGAGAGGAUGAUCAGCCACACUGGGACUGAGACACGGCCCAGACUCCUACGGGAGGCAGCAGUGGGGAAUCUUGCACAAUGGAGGAAACUCUGAUGCAGCGAUGCCGCGUGAGUGAAGAAGGCCUUUGGGUUGUAAAGCUCUUUUGUAGGGGAAGAUAAUGACCUGUACCCUAAGAAUAAGGUCCGGCUAACUUCGUGCCAGC
rnacentral:rRNA from 1 species